rnacentral:rRNA from 1 species
AACGAACGCUGGCGGCAUGCCUAACACAUGCAAGUCGAACGAAGGCUUCGGCCUUAGUGGCGCACGGGUGCGUAACGCGUGGGAAUCUGCCCUUUGCUUCGGAAUAACAGUUAGAAAUGACUGCUAAUACCGGAUGAUGUCGCAAGACCAAAGAUUUAUCGGCAAAGGAUGAGCCCGCGUAGGAUUAGCUAGUUGGUGGGGUAAAGGCCUACCAAGGCGACGAUCCUUAGCUGGUCUGAGAGGAUGAUCAGCCACACUGGAACUGAGACACGGCCCAGACUCCUACGGGAGGCAGCAGUGGGGAAUAUUGGACGAUGGGCGAAGGCCUGGUCCAGCAAUGCCGCGUAAGUGAUGAAGGCCUUAGGGUUGUAAAGCUCUUUUACCCGAGAUGAUAAUGACAGUACCGGGAGAAUAAGCUCCGGCUAACUCCGUG